GAUGAACGCUGGCGGCGUGCCUAAUACAUGCAAGUCGAGCGAACAGACGAGGAGCUUGCUCCUCUGACGUUAGCGGCGGACGGGUGAGUAACACGUGGAUAACCUACCUAUAAGACUGGGAUAACUUCGGGAAACCGGAGCUAAUACCGGAUAAUAUAUUGAACCGCAUGGUUCAAUAGUGAAAGACGGUUUUGCUGUCACUUAUAGAUGGAUCCGCGCCGCAUUAGCUAGUUGGUAAGGUAACGGCUUACCAAGGCAACGAUGCGUAGCCGACCUGAGAGGGUGAUCGGCCACACUGGAACGGAGACACGGUCCAGACUCCUACGGGAGGCAGCAGUAGGGAAUCUUCCGCAAUGGGCGAAAGCCUGACGGAGCAACGCCGCGUGAGUGAUGAAGGUCUUCGGAUCGUAAAACUCUGUUAUUAGGGAAGAACAAAUGUGUAAGUAACUAUGCACGGCUUGACGGUACCUAAUCAGAAAGCCACGGCUAACUACGUG
rnacentral:rRNA from 1 species